AUUGAACGCUGGCGGCAGGCCUAACACAUGCAAGUCGAACGAGUGGCGGACGGGUGAGUAAUGUCUGGGAAACUGCCUGAUGGAGGGGGAUAACUACUGGAACCGGUAGCUAAUCCCGCAUACUAUAGGAUGUGCCCCGAUGGGUUUAGCUAGUAGGUGGGGUAAAGGCUCACCUAGGCGACGAUCCCUCGCUGGUCUGAGGGGAUGACCGGCCACACUUGAACUGAGACACGGUCCGAACUCCUACGGGAGGCAGCAGUGGGGAAUAUUGCACAAGGGGCGCAAGCCUGAUGCAGCCAUGCCGCGUGUAUGAAGAAGGCCUUCGGGUUGUAAAGUACUUUCAGCGGGGAGGCGUUACCCGCAGAAGAAGCACCGGCUAACUCCGUGCCAGCAGCCGCGGUAAUUC
rnacentral:rRNA from 1 species